AUAUGGAAGAACCCUCGAAGCCUGUCCCCGACGAUGAUGCCCCCUGGCAAGGAAAGGGUCCGCCAUUCUCUUUCUUUCCUCAAUCGUCCCGAUCAUUUCUCUCAUUCCCUUUUGUUUGUUUUUGGGUUGGUUCGUCUCCUCCUCCUAUCUACGCAAUUCUCUGUCUUCGUUCAUGUUCAUCUUAGGCGAAAUGAUAGGUAUAAAUUUUGUGGAGGGGCGGCUGUGAAAGGGCGAUUCCCCCUUUUCCAUUGA
rnacentral:rRNA from 1 species